AGAUUCUUGGGCAAAGUUGUUUUAGCGAUCUGGUUGCAACUAAGUAUUGGAGUUGUUGUGCCUUGAAGCUAGAAACUGCCUUGAAUUUCUACAUAGGGAAAUGUAAUCUAUUGCUUUCUUACAGGGGAGGCAGAUGAUGAAUAAAUGAACAAAAAAUAUAAUAAUGGAUAUGUAUUUAUAAGUGCUAUGAAGAGAAGAAAUCCAAGCAAGAAGAGAGUGAAAUGAGGUAUCCUGUAAGAACAAAUUGCUGCCUCCUCCAGGUGGAAAGGGAUCAAAUAUAAUUAAUCUGUGUGUGCCACACAGUAGCUUGAUAGUUUAAUUGAGGAAUGUUGACAUAUUGAGAGCUCAGCAUUACUUUCUGCUAUCAGCAGUGACGGCAUAAGAGCUGUAUCCUAACUGCACUGCUGAAUUUGGGCUUCCUGUGGGGGCACGGCAAGUGCCCUCUUUGAGAGUGAGGAGGCUGAGAGUCUCACACCAACAGGAAUGAGUGCUUUGAAAUUAACUGGUGUUUGGAAAUUGAUCUGAAGCCAGUGCCUGGGAUUCUGAGAUGCAGCCACAUCAUAAAGUUUCAUUACUCAAUUGCAGUAGAGAAAACCUCAAAGGAACCACUUCUAAUGGAAACUGCCUCAAUUCCUGGUCAAGUCUCACAGUCUAACCUGGAGGUGCUCUGAGAUGUGACUAAGUUAAGGAUUUUGAGAUGAAGAGACCAUCCUGAAUUAUCUGAGUGGGUCCUGAAUGUCAUCACAAGAAGCCUUAGAAGAGAGAAGCAUGAAAACCAGAAGAGGAGGAAGAGGCAACCGGGCCAUGAAGACAAGAGAUUAGAGUGAUGUGGCCACAAGUCAAGAAGUGCCGGCCUCCAGCAAAAAACUGGAAGUCAGGAGCAGGAUCUCUCCUAGAGCCUGUGGAGGGAAUGUAACCCUGCCAAUAACUUGAUUUUGGCCCAGAGAAACUGACUUCAGACUUCUGGCCUUCAGGAUGGCGAGAGAAUUAAAUCGCUGUUGUUUUUAGCCCAGUAUGUGGUAAUUUUGUUACAACAGCCACAGAAAACUAGUACAGUGGAUUUUUAGCAGUAGAAUUAAAUUAGCAGUGGAUUAAAGAGCAGUAGAAUUGUGAUUUUAUCAACACUUACUGGAUGGCAGAUUUCCUCUGCAGCAGAAGAGAAUAAAAUGUUGCCUAGGUGAUGCUGACCACCAAAACUUCUGCCAUGGACUCAGCAGUGUGAACAGACCCUGGGAAUCUAUGUACACAUAAAACACCAUGAACAUUUUGCAUUUUCUGAUUUGAACUGAAUAGGCGUUCUACUCUGUAAAUAUUUACAAAAAAACUAAAUAUAUAUUUAUGUUAACCCUUUGCUAGAGAUUUUUAAACAAACAAAAAAAUACCAGAUCUUAUUCACCAUUUUUGAUGUCAGUAAAGUGUGUUACGCAAAUUGGCUUCAAAAAUUAAAACCUGUAACAAACUUUGAGUCUUGAAAUGCAUGCUAUGUAUGAUCUUAAAAACAUGUAGGUAGGCUUAUUAGUUCAUAGAGGUUCAUAGUAUUUCAUAUGUUUUUCAGACUAUAUGUAGGGAAUUGCUGACAAAUCUUGGUAUCACUAAAUCCAUUAUCAUGUUCUGAAAUGUCACCAAAUUGAGCCUACAUAUUGUGAAGAGUGAGUGUAUGGCCAUAUAGUGUAUGGCCUCAAGAUUUUGUCUUAUAAUUUAAGUUUCAAUGUCCACACCUCAUCUAAAUUAGGGUACCAUUUGGACUAUCAUGUUUAAUAAAUUUACC
ensembl:lncRNA novel transcript